rnacentral:misc_RNA from 1 species
AGUAUGCUGCCCAAGGUAUGGAGGUCAAGUUUAAUGAAGGGAGCUAGUGGAAAGAGUGACUUAACCAAGGUUGCAUGGAGGUCCUUCAAGCUCAGCCAUGGAGUUUUUCUCUCACUUUGUUUCGGCUGGUUUGUCCCAAGGUUGAAGAUGACAGAAUUUUCUGUCCAAAGGUUGAUUAAAGGUCCACUUAAGUGAUGUUAGUGGAGCACUAAUUGAUUAAAAAUCUAUUUUAAUGUUAAACUUUCCAAUUUUUGCAAUUUGGCCACCACACUUUCACUAUUUACAUAAUGUAUCUCAUUUUAAUUUUUCAUGGUAUUUUCAAAGUUUA